UGUUUCGGCUAGGGGGCCAUCCCGGCUUACCAACCCGAUGCAAACUGCGAAUACCGGAGAAUGUUAUCACGGGAGACACACGGCGGGUGCUAACGUCCGUCGUGAAGAGGGAAACAACCCAGACCGCCAGCUAAGGUCCCAAAGUCAUGGUUAAGUGGGAAACGAUGUGGGAAGGCCCAGACAGCCAGGAUGUUGGCUUAGAAGCAGCCAUCAUUUAAAGAAAGCGUAAUAGCUCACUGGUCGAGUCGGCCUGCGCGGAAGAUGUAACGGGGCUAAACCAUGCACCGAAGCUGCGGC
rnacentral:rRNA from 1 species